AACUUUCAGCAACGUAUCUCUUGGUUCUCGCAUCGAUUAAGAACGCAGCGAAUUGCGAUAUGUAAUGUGAAUUGCAGAAUUCAGUGAAUCAUCGAAUCUUUGAACGCACCUUGCGCCCUUUGGUAUUCCGAAGGGCAUGCCUGUUUGAGUGUCAUUAAAUUCUCAACUUCAAAGAGUUUAUCUCUCUUCUGAAGCUUGGACUAUGGAGGCUUGCUGGAACAAUAUAGUCAGCUCCUCUUAAAUGUAUUAGCAGAACCUUUAUAAAGGACUAGCUCCAGUUUGAUAAUUCUAUCUAUGCUGUUGCUUGUUAACCUUUCUGUGUUCAGCUUCUAAUGGUCUUUUAGACUGUCUCUAUGAGGCAUACACUUUCAAGCUUGACCUCAAAUCAGGUAGGACUACCCGCUGACCUUAAGCAUAUCAAUAAGCGGAGGC
rnacentral:misc_RNA from 1 species